rnacentral:tRNA from 1 species
AUUUAUAUAGUAUAAUUAAUAUUUUUGACUUCCAAUCGAAAGAUCUAAAAAUUUAGUAUAAAUA